rnacentral:rRNA from 1 species
AUUGAACGCUUGCGGCAGGCCUAACACAUGCAAGUCGAGCGAGCGGCGGACGGGUGAGUAAUGUCUGGGGAACUGCCUGAUUGAGGGGGAUAACUACUGGCAACGGUUGCUAAUACCGCAUACCAUCAGAUGAACCCAUAUGGGAUUAGCUAGUAGGUGGGGUAAAGGCUCACCUAGGCGACGAUCCCUAGCUGGUCUGAGAGGAUGAUCAGCCAAACUGGAACUGAGACACGGUCCAGACUCCUACGGGAGGCAGCAGUGGGGAAUAUUGCACAAUGGGCGCAAGCCUGAUGCAGCCAUGCCGCGUGUAUGAAGAAGGCCUUAGGGUUGUAAAGUACUUUCAGCGGGGAGGCGUUACUCGCAGAAGAAGCACAGGCUAACUCAGUGCCAGCAGCCGCGGUAAUUC